GAUGAACGCUAGCUACAGGCUUAACACAUGCAAGUCGAGGGGAAACGAUGAGAGAGCUUGCUCUCUUAGUCGUCGACCGGCGCACGGGUGAGUAACGCGUAUCCAACCUGCCUCUGACCAAGGGAUAACCCGUCGAAAGUCGGACUAAUACCUUAUGCAGUCGUCGGAAGUCAUCUGAUGACGACGAAAGAUUUCAUCGGUGAGAGAUGGGGAUGCGUCUGAUUAGCUUGUUGGCGGGGUAACGGCCCACCAAGGCGACGAUCAGUAGGGGUUCUGAGAGGAAGGUCCCCCACAGUGGAACUGAGACACGGUCCAAACUCAUACGGGAGGCAGCAGUGAGGAAUAUUGGUCAAUGGGCGUAAGCAUGAACCAGCCAAGUAGCGUGCAGGAUGACGGCCCUAUGGGUUGUAAACUGCUUUUAUGCGGGGAUAAAGUGAGGGACGUGUCCUUCAUUGCAGGUACCGCAUGAAUAAGGACCGGCUAAUUCCGUG
rnacentral:rRNA from 1 species